UACAGAGGUCUCAAGCGUUGUUCGGAUUCAUUGGGCGUAAAGGGUGCGUAGGCGGCAAGGUAAGUCUGAUGUGAAAUCCCGGGGCUUAACCCUGGAACUGCAUUGGAUACUGCCAUGCUAGAGUACUGGAGAGGAAACUGGAAUUUACGGUGUAGCAGUGAAAUGCGUAGAGAUCGUAAGGAAGGCCAGUGGCGAAGGCGAGUUUCUGGACAGUUACUGACGCUGAGGCACGAAGGCCAGGGGAGCAAACGGG
rnacentral:rRNA from 1 species